GCACCCUCGGUCCCUAAUGAGCACCGCGUUCUUCACCCCGACAAGCACCGGGACGCAGAGAGGAAGAGAGGAGCUGAUUUAGUCCUGAGUGCUCAAGCACCUCAUUCCCUCCCAGGUUCCCAUUUGGAAUUCCAGCUGGAAGAGUGAGUGUCUGAACUCCCUGUGUGCUUGAGGAAGGAAAAAUGAGUGUAAUUCACAGCCUGGGUGGAUGGAACUGCUUCCUCUUCGGGGCCUGAAUUUGCCCUGGGAGCAUGAACCGUACAAAUUCCUCCUCUUUCAGGGGUCUGAAGGUCACGUUUUGGGGGUCGCUGCUGCUCCUCCUUCAGGCACAAGCAGGUGGGGCUGUGACUUUGACCUGCCUGGAGUUCUGAGAGAAGCAAACACCCCAGGUCGUCUGAAUUGGAGGUAAACAUUAAAAGCAGAGCCAGCCCUAAGAAUGUAUCCCCUGACAUCACUGCAAGGAGGGCUGGGUUAUCAAAUUAUCUCUCCUGGCUUCAGCUUCCCUGAGUUUCCCCCUCAGUCUCCACAUUUCUCCCAGAAGUGCCCCUGUGCUCUGCAUUCCUGAGUGGAUGGGAGUGGAUGGGAAUGGCCUUUUUGGGACUGGACAGUCUGACCUCUCUGCCUAUUAUCCCUGCUGUUUUGUGGGGUCCCUGUGCAUGCUGAUAAUCCCAUAAUCCCAGCUGGGCACGAGGAGCAAGGUGGAAGAUGUUAGCAAGCGUGACAGGCUGGGGAUGAUGAGAAAAAGCUGCCCUUGUGCUUCCAAAACCUCCCAGGAGGAAGAGGAGGGCUUGUCCUAACUUGGACAGAGCUCCCCAAUGGAGAAGCCAUUCCAUGCCCUGCAGACACGGGAGGAGAGAUGAUUGUCAGCUGCAACCCAGGUUGUGAAACCCCGACUGCAGGAGAAAUCCCCACCCUGAAAGGAGAGAUAUGCAUGCCUGCCUCGGAAUUCCACGGGGUGGGGUGGCUGUGCUGAUUGCUGCUGGGGGCAGGAGGGACAGAGGGUUUAGAAAGGUCGAGCUGCCCACCUUGAAUGUCCCCUUUAAGGUCUGCA